UAACAUCCGGAAACGGGUGCGUAAUACCGCAUAGUUUUCUUGAUCGCAUGAUUGAGAAAGGAAAGACGGCCUUUGUGCGUGUCGCUUAUGGAUGGACCCGCGGCGUAUUAGUUAGUUGGUGAGGUAACGGCUCACCAAGACGAUGAUACGUAGCCGACCUGAGAGGGUGAUCGGCCACAUUGGGACUGAGACACGGCCCAAACUCCUACGGGAGGCAGCAGUAGGGAAUCUUCCGCAAUGGACGAAAGUCUGACGGAGCAACGCCGCGUGAGUGAAGAAGGUUUUCGGGAAUCGUAAAACUCUGUUGUCAGAGAAGAACAAGUUGGAGAGUAACUGCUCCAGCCUUGACGGGUAUCUGACCAGAAAGCCACGGCUAACUACGUGCCAGCAGCUGC
rnacentral:rRNA from 1 species